AGGGAAGGUCUUGCCUUGGCAUCUUCCAGAUGUCUUCACAAUAUAGUUAUUGAGAGUCAUUCGCUCUAGAUCACCCAAUCUCUCCGAUCUUCUUCGUCAGACCUUUCUCUUAUAAGUCUCAUCAUCAAACACUCUAGAGAGCUUUCCUUGGGGAUCAUUGGAGUUUGUUUUACCGAUAUAAGACAUCAAGCAAAUGAAGUUUCUCAUCGACUUGCUCGUUGCAAUCUUCGUCCAGCAGCCCUUCAUGUGGUCUGAGGAACCACCAGACUUCAUUUUAGAUAUUUACUUGCAUAUUGUAAUUCUUAACAAUGACUACUCCCUUUUUGUAAUCUUAUUUUUUCCUUACCAAUAUAUCUCUCUAUCGCCUUUGAUUCAAAAAAAUAAAAUAAAAUAAAAAACUCUUUACCAACUUCA